UACGUGGGGAGGCAAGCGUUGUCCGGAAUCAUUGGGCGUAAAGCGCGUGUAGGCGGCUCGGUAAGUCUGCUCUGAAAGCCUGGGGCUCAACCCUGGGAGGCGGGUGGAUACUGCUGAGCUCGAGUCCGGAAGAGGCGAGUGGAAUUCCUGGUGUAGCGGUGGAAUGCGCAGAUAUCAGGAGGAACACCGGUGGCGAAGGCGGGUCUCUGGGCCGUAACUGACGCUGGAGGAGCGAAAGCAUGGGGAGCGAACAGG
rnacentral:rRNA from 1 species